rnacentral:rRNA from 1 species
UACGUAGGGCGCAAGCGUUAUCCGGAAUUAUUGGGCGUAAAGAGCUCGUAGGCGGCUUGUCGCGUCGGCUGUGAAAACUCGGGGCUCAACCCCGAGCCUGCAGUCGAUACGGGCAGGCUAGAGUCCGGCAGGGGAGACUGGAAUUCCUGGUGUAGCGGUGAAAUGCGCAGAUAUCAGGAGGAACACCGGUGGCGAAGGCGGGUCUCUGGGCCGGAACUGACGCUAAGGAGCGAAAGCGUGGGGAGCGAACAGG